UACGAGGGGGGCAAGCGUUGUUCGGAAUUAUUGGGCGUAAAGGGUGCGUAGGCGGUCUGAUAAGUCAUCUGUGAAAUCUAUGGGCUCAACCCAUAGUCUGCAGGCGAAACUGUCGGGCUUGAGUAUGGGAGAGGUGAGUGGAAUUUCCGGUGUAGCGGUGAAAUGCGUAGAUAUCGGAAGGAACACCUGUGGCGAAAGCGAGGUCCUGGACGUUUUCUGACGCUGAGACGCGAAAGCCAGGGGAGCGAACGGG
rnacentral:rRNA from 1 species